rnacentral:lncRNA from 1 species
CAGACUGACGGCACCUGAGGGGAGUGCCAGCCUCUUCAGCCUCGGGGAGAGGUGGGACAAGCUGAUGCAGGAGGCUGAAGCCAGGUAUGGCUGCCUGGAGCGGAUCCUGCCGGCAGCCCAGGGCUUCCAGGAGGCCGUGGAUGCCUUCCAGGAGUGGCUGGGUGCCACAGAGAGGCAGCUGGCCCAGCUCUGGCGUGCUGAUGGCUGUGUUGGCCGCGUGCAGGACGCCUACCAGCAGACCCAGGUGGACACAGGUCAGGCGUGGGGUGGGCACAGGGUGGAGACGGGCACCUGUGUAAUCGCUGGUCACUGCUACAGGCCCUCUGUGAGGAGAUCCGCGGGCGGCUGGGGGAGCUGGAUGGAGCCCUGGAGAGUGGGCAGCGCGUCCUGGAGCUGGUGACAGGGGAGGAGGCCCAGCUGACGCAGGAGAAGAUGGAGUCACUGAGGAUGCGCUACCUCAUUGUGGGCCAGAGCAGCACUGACACCGCUCACCGGCUGGGGCAGACCCUGGAGGCCUCGUCUCGCCUGGGCACGGCCCCUGAGGACCUGGCACUGUGGCUGAGCCGCAUGGAGAAGGAGCUGGGCGAGCAGGAGAGCCAGCAGGAUGGCCAGGAGCCCUCGGUCACUGCCAGUGACAGGGAGAAGUUUGAGCAGGUCCUGGAGUCCCAGCUCAGCCGCGUGGCCGGGCUGGGUGAGCGGCUGGAGGAGAUUGGCCGGGUGCAGCUGGAUGCUGAGGCUCUCCGCUCACAGCUCUCCGAGCAGAAGGUGGGUCUGCAGCAGUGCCCAAGGGUACAGGGGGCACUGGGCUUGGCAUCCCUAUCCCUGCCAGGACCUGGCACUCACCUGUGGCUUCAUUUCAGCUGCUUUCUGCCGAGAUCCUGCACUGCCGGGGCCUGGUUGAGCGUCUGCUGGGCUUCUCAGAGCCGCUGCUGCGCUGCUGCCCUGAGCCCCUGUGGCAGCGCCUUCAGGUGAGCUGCGAGGGUGCCAGGGGACAUUACCAGCACCCAGGGAUGGCUGUGCCCUGUGUGGUGACUCCCUGUCUCCACAGCCAUUGGUGCAGGCGCUGCAGGAGCGCACAGAGCAGCUGUCCCUGCGCAGCGGCGCCUGUGCCGUGCAGCUGGAGCAUGCCCAGUCCCUGCUCACCCAGUUCUCUGAGGCCCUCGAGGAGCUGCUGCCCUGGCUGGAGGAGACGCAGGCCUUGGGGGUGCAGCUCUCGCCCAAUGCCAUCAGCUACGAGGCCUUCAAGGAGCAGCAGGCGCUGCUGCAGGUGUGGGCAGGGCA